AUUGAACGCUGGCGGCAUGCCUUACACAUGCAAGUCGAACGGCAGCACGGGAGCAAUCCUGGUGGCGAGUGGCGAACGGGUGAGUAAUAUAUCGGAACGUGCCCAGUCGUGGGGGAUAACGUAGCGAAAGCUACGCUAAUACCGCAUACGAUCUAUGGAUGAAAGCGGGGGAUCGCAAGACCUCGCGCGAUUGGAGCGGCCGAUAUCAGAUUAGGUAGUUGGUGAGGUAAAGGCUCACCAAGCCGACGAUCUGUAGCUGGUCUGAGAGGACGACCAGCCACACUGGGACUGAGACACGGCCCAGACUCCUACGGGAGGCAGCAGUGGGGAAUUUUGGACAAUGGGCGCAAGCCUGAUCCAGCAAUGCCGCGUGCAGGAUGAAGGCCUUCGGGUUGUAAACUGCUUUUGUACGGAACGAAACGGUGUGCUCUAAUACAGUUUGCUAAUGACGGUACCGUAAGAAUAAGCACCGGCUAACUACGUGCCAGCAGCCGCAGUAA
rnacentral:rRNA from 1 species